rnacentral:sRNA from 1 species
GUCUCCCUGCUCGCUCCGGGUCCCGGGGCCGCGCCAUGUGGCCUGCGGCGGGCGGGCUGUGGCGCUCCCGCGCGGGUCUCUGGGCCCUGUUCCGUAGCCACGAUGCUGCGCUAUUUCCAGGCUGCGAGCGGGGACUUCACUGCUCUGCUGUCUCCUGCAAGAACUGGCUCAAGAAAUUUGCCUCGAAAACCAAGUAAUGCGGCGGAGGCGGUGUCCCUGGGCGCGGUAUUCCCUAGGGGGCGGUGUCCCCGGGUUGCGGUGUCCGCUCAUCCGCGUUCUUGCGCCCAUGCGGCCUAGCUCGCCAGUUCCUGCCUCCUGGGGUCUGCAGCAGUUCUAGCUCUCACUGUCAACAUUUGCAGCUUUUGUGUUCGUGGACGUGUGUCGGGUUAAGAAAACAAAGUGACAAUGUGUGUUUAUUUUGAUUCUUGUCACCAGACGUAUUUUUCAGAAGAUUAGUUUCAGAAAAUGAGGAAAAAUGAAAAAAUAUAAGAAUUUCCUUGCUAAUGUUGACUUCCUGUGUGAAUUUGAAGACUAAAGCUUGUCAUGAUAAUUAGUGUUUUUAAAUUAUGAAAGAUAAGUACAAUAAAAUACAUUGACUUUUCACACUGCUUUUAGUUCUUCUAAGUAUGGUAGGUGGUUGUAUGUUUUCUACUUUAAUACACUACUUUUAAAGACAGUUGUAGACCCUGCAGAAAAAUUGCAAAAAUAGUACCGCGUUCCUGUGUCCUGGCACCCAGCUCCCCCUGUGUUAGCGUCGGACUUUAGCUUCCAACGUGUUCCAGUUAAUGAGCCGAUAUUGAUAGAGUGUUGCUAACUGAAGCUCAUACUUUAUUCACUUUUCCUUGGUUCUGCCUGCUGUCCCUUCCUGUCCCAGGUGCCCACCCAAGGUCCACGUUACAUUGAAUUGUCUUGUUUCCUUAGGCUGGGGUAGUGUCCCAGACUGUCCCUGGUUUUGAUGGCUGUGCCAGUUUUGAGGGGUACUGGUCAGGUGCUUUGCAGGAUGCCUCUCUGUUGGAAUGUGCCUGUUUUUUUAAUGCUUAGACGUGGAUUAUGGCUUUUGGGGAGGAAGACUACAGAGGUAAAGGCCAUUCUCAUCGCACCGUAUCCAGGGUCCACGCUGGCCGUGAUCCCCUGCGUGAGGUGCUUGCCACGUUUCUCUACCGUAAAGUUACUUUUUUUUGCCCCCUUUCCUUACUGUACUCUGGGAGAAAGUCGCUGUGUGCAGCCCAUGCCUAAUGAGUGGGGAAUUUUGCUCAUAAGUGAUUCGCAUUCUGCACAAGGGAUGUGUCUCUUCACCCCAUGUAUUAAUUCAUUCAUAUCACCAAGAACUCAUGGGUUAUAAUCCCGUGUUACUUAGUUUUGUUCGAAUGUUUCCAGCUCAGGCCCUUAGGAGCUCACUAAGCUCCUAUGUCCUGUUUGCAUACCCUGUCAUUGUGGGGUUUUGCUGGGUUCUGUGUGUGUUAAACACUUUCCUACUUUCUGGCACUACAAGAUACUCCAGGCUCAUCUUGUGUGUUUCGUACCGCAGCCCUAAAAUCAGCCAUUUCUCCAAGAAGCCCUCGUUCCUUUUAUUGGAGAGAGAGAUUA